rnacentral:lncRNA from 1 species
UUCUCUUCUUCCUCAUACCAUCUACCCCCGAUGUAACACCACCCUUGACCACCCUUUGACCAUCCUUGACCACCCGUCUACCACCCUAAUGCCGCCGCCAAAAAUCGCCUCACGGCGGCAGCCGGUCACCAAACCCCCCAAGAUUACACCAUCAAACCACCACAACCCCCUCUUUCCCGUCCUGUGGUUGAUUUCAGUCGAAUAAGUCUCCUCCGUCUCGAAUAUUCAAAAGUAAGGUCGUCGGAACCACCGCCUCCGGCGACCCUGUUCCAAACCUCCCCAACUUUACCUCGUAGGACCACCAGAAUCUCCCAUUCCCCGUCCUGCAAUCCAUCCUCUUCAAACGACCCCUCAUCGUCUCAAAUCUUCAAAAGAAGUCCAGUGGAACCCCCAUCUCCGGCAACCCAACCCCAAACCCCUCCAAAAUUACACCCCAGAAGCAUCUUAUCCUCCUCUUUCUCACUGUGUAUGUUACACCCUUCGAAUCCGCCUGAAACAUCUCGAAUAUUAAUUUGAAGUUUAACCCUAAAACUCAAACCUUAUCGGAAUCUGGUCAAACUCAUCUCAGCCAAUCCCCAGCCAUUUCCCUCCCCAACCAUGCCACCCACGACUCCCAAACACUACCAUUCACUGAGAAAACUCAAAUAUGAGACCUCACUUUGUCUCAGAAUCACAAAACCCUAGUCCUGAUGAAUCUUGUCAAACUCGUCUCAGGCAAUCCCCGGCCAUUCCCCUCCCCAACCAUGCCACCCACGACUUCCAAACACCACCAAUCACCGAGAAAAAUCAAAUCUGAGACCUUACUUGGUCUCAGAAUCAUAGAACCCCAGUCCUGAACCCCUAAAAUCCAUGAGUCCAAAAGGAGUUGCUUUAGAGGGUUAGAAACCUCUAUAGAAGAGGUCAGAAACCAACGGAAUGAUCUCCAAAUAGAUUUGCAUGUAUAAAAGCUAAGUGUUCUAUCUUUGUCUGUAUAUAUUUACUUCGUUUCUUUUAAUUGUUUGUUGUUUAUUUUGAAUAAUUGUUUGUUUUUCCACAAUUUCGUCUGAAAUAGGUUAAAUAGUCAUAUGCCUUUGGUUGUCACUGGUCUAAAAUCUCUUGAAUAUGACGAGGUCCAAGCACAAGCGCGCAAAUGUCCAUAUGCCUUUGGUUGUCACUGGUCUGAAAUCUCUUGAGUUGGUUUGAUGUCAUGUUAAUAUUAUCCCCCUGAUUCUGAAAUCCUGGCUUAAUGAUUCUUCAGUAAUGUUUGUUGAUAUUCGUCUCCUGAUUUUCAUUCCCUGAUACCCCAAUUGGUUUUGGUAGGCGUUUAUCUUGUGGAUCAUGUUUAUGUCACUGAGUAAUUGUUUUCAUCUCCAAUACUUGCAUGGAUUAGACUGAUUUAUUUUGCUAAACCUUUAAUUGAUAAUAUUAGCUUUUACUUUUCUGAUUUGAUUUAUGAACUAAAUGUCCAACGCCUGCUAUGUGCUUCUCAUUCUCAACUUUUUCUGUGUACUAUAAUCGAGCUAUUUCUACAAGUUAAGUGUUAAUGGAUGGUUUCCCUCUUCUGGUCAUUUUGAUUCAUUGUUUUUGAUACUAAAUGAUCAUCCUGAAUAAUGUUUGGUUACUAAAAAUCCACAUUAAGGCACUUGUUUUAAAACCUGAUUAGUUUUGGCUAAUUUUGAAAUUCAAUAAGCCUGUUAGUCCAAGACUAAAUUUGACCCAAACUUGAACAUAAUUGACCUGGGUCAAUU